rnacentral:rRNA from 1 species
ACGGAGGAUGCGAGCGUUAUUCGGAAUCACUGGGUUUAAAGGGCACGCAGGCGGACUAUUAAGUCAGAGGUGAAAUCCUCCAGCUUAACUGCAGAACUGCCUCUGAUACUGGCAAGCUUGAGUCUCGUAGAGGGAGGUAGAAUUCCAGGUGUAGCGGUGAAAUGCGUAGAGAUCUGGAGGAAUACCGGUGGCGAAGGCGGCCCCCUGGACGAAGACUGACGCUCAGGUGCGAAAGCGUGGGGAGCAAACAG